CGCACAAAAUAGAGGAAGUGCUAGAGUAGAAUUUGUACCAAACACACUGCAUUGUAUAAUGUAUUGUAUGCAUUAGUUUCGUCAAAUCAUUGCAGAAAAAACAAGCCUAGCCUAAUUUCGGAUAUUGAUUAGCCAAAGAACACCGUAUCCCACAAGCCUUAGCUUUGUGUUGACAUGCAACAAUGGCGGCUACCACUGCCAAUGUGGAAGUUACGGGUAAAACAGCACUGUUGAAGGACUCUUUAGCAAAAGUUGGAUUUGAAGUCUACCCUCUAAAGGUUGGGUGGUAUAACUCUGUGCUGCCUCUCUCCCUACGCCUGGCUUACCCAGAUGACACCCUGGCCAUGGUGGUGCUCAGCACGCCUGCUAUGUUUGAACAAGCCUUCCUGCCCUUCAUGGAGGAGAGGGGCUGCCAGAAGCUGUCUGACCCCAUAGACCAGUGUGUUAAACACUGCAUCUCCUCUGCUGUAUCUAAGUGUUUCCCAGGACAGGAGGUGGAUGUGAGCUAUGACUACGAGCUGCUGCCCAGCAGGAAGCCAAAGUUCUUGGCGCAGACUGCAGCUCAUGUGUCUGGAGCAACUUUCUACUACCAACCAUCUGACGUCACAGACCAUCCCUGGGCUGAAAAAAAGGUAUUCGGAGUGUGUGUGCAUCCGAGGUUUGGGGGCUGGUUUGCCAUCAGAGCCCUGUUGGUGUUUGGAGGAGUGAUGGUGGACUCUGAGAUGGUGCAGCCCGAUCCACCUGACUGUGUGCCUUCAAGAGAGGGCAGGAUACAGCUGCUGGAGGCUUUUAACUUUCACUGGCAGGACUGGACCUACAGAGACAUCGUCCAUCCAGUCCAGAUCUACUCUCAGAAACAGAAGGACUACUUUUCCACUCCUCCUGCUCAGCGGUUCGCUCUGCUUAAGACUUGGGGCUUCCUGCCGAGGGAAUGCGACCAACCUGAUUCGACCACGGACACUCAGAGCCAGGUGACCGGACAUGGCUGAAACAGCUGCGGUGUGGAAGUGCUGCAUAUCCUCUCUGAGCACAAGCCGCCACUGCUACGCUUGUAAGGUUUUGAUGGAAGCUUUUAAAGGUACAAGGGAUUCUUUUCAGGGACUUUUCACAUGAACAUUUACUGCUUUAUGAUGGGUUUCAUCAUAUGAUUACACUACUGAGUAUAGUAUAGCAGCUCCCAUGUCAUUUCAUGGAAACAUGAGGGGCAUCACCAGCCAUCCUUGACUUUGUAUCUUUACAUGCAGAUUUUUUUUUUUUUUAUCACAAAGAGGACAAACACUUUUUCUAUUUAAUCAUUUCUAGAUUAUUUCUAUUUUAUUUAAUAGUGAAUUCAU